AUAACCCUUGAGGCACAUGAGACACAGAGCUAAUGAAGUGCCUGAAGGAAAAAGUCUUACUAUCAAGCUAUGAAUCCUCUCCCCUGUGCCACAAACCAGAGGUCACAUGACUUAGGAAUGUGUAUCCAAAGAUAAUACUACCUUCAGAGAACUCUACUUACAGGUCUUGGACAAACAGUAAGCUAUUCACUCACAAAUGCAGGCCAGACUUAUUUCCCACUUUUCUAAACAAUGUAGUACAAUCUACUAAUCCAAUGAAAUAAAUCGAACAAGAAGAUCCCUGCUGAUGGGCAGCGCUUCUGACGAGGAUUUAGUGAAUGUGCUGCUGGACAGUGAUAAAAUGAAGAGUGGUACUGGGAAAGCCAAGUUAUCCGACUGGGUCGUGGAUGUGUAGCUGUAAGGAAACCCACAGGAGAACUCCCAGGGUGAACUUUGUUGAUCUUAUAGCUUUUAAAGCUCAAUUUCCCUCUGCAGCAUGGCAAUCAUCUACAUUGGAUGCUUCAUACGACUCUACUUUUAUCCGUGCUCAAAUAUUUAGAGAAAUUUCUAAGAAGUUAAUACAAUACCAGUAGUAAAUUGUUGCAAUGAUCCAUCCAGGAGACUUAAAAAUUGUCAGACAAACCUACACAGCAUGUUGACGAUAUACAGUAUGUUCCUAAGUGUAUACAAUCUUGGAUGUCAGUUCACACUUUUACAAUGUCCCAUUCUAUAUGCAUGUAUUGAAGCUAAUAAUACAAAUGCCAGCAGAAUGCACUUAAUA
rnacentral:lncRNA from 1 species